GGAAGGACGCUCUGAUUCACAACUGAGUCCUGAGACGGUCAUGUGAGACACCAAGAGUUACUGAGCUACAGGAGCAGCACAUUUAUCAGUCUGUAGAUGUACAGAAAAGCAUGCGGAUUGUUCUUCUAGCCGAUCUAAACCAAUAGCCCCUGCUCUUCCUGUCGUUUCAGCAUGCUACCAUCUGCCGUACGGGAGAAAACACAGGACAACAACAGGAAAUACGGCGGCCAUCUUGGAGCGGUCGUCCCUUCUUUGCUAAACCAAGACAGCAGAAGAUAUUAGCUGUAUUAAUUGUAAUUUUAAAAGGUCAGACAUUGCAGCAGACAGAGGAAGAAAUCAUCUUUCAACAUAACCCAAAAUGUUCACAUAUUGUACUUCUGGUGGAGCACUUUGCAACAAAAGUUGAUUUAUUUUACACAUAUGCAAGAUAAAACAUUUUUAAAUGUUAA